rnacentral:rRNA from 1 species
UACGUAGGGUGCGAGCGUUGUCCGGAAUUACUGGGCGUAAAGAGCUUGUAGGUGGUUUGUCGCGUUGUUCGUGAAAUCUCACGGCUCAACUGUGAGCGUGCGGGCGAUACGGGCAGACUAGAGUACUGCAGGGGAGACUGGAAUUCCUGGUGUAGCGGUGGAAUGCGCAGAUAUCAGGAGGAACACCGGUGGCGAAGGCGGGUCUCUGGGCCGUAACUGACGCUGAGGAGCGAAAGCAUGGGGAGCGAACAGG